AACGAACGCUGGCGGCGUGCCUAACACAUGCAAGUCGAACGCCCUGGUUCGCCAGGGAGUGGCGCACGGGUGAGUAACGCGUGGGAACCUGCCCGGCAGUACGGGACAACCGCGGGAAACUGCGGCUGAUACCGUAUACGGCCUGAGGGCGAAAGAAUUUCGCUGUCGGAGGGGCCCGCGUCGGAUUAGGUAGUUGGUGGGGUAACGGCCUACCAAGCCUGCGAUCCGUAGCUGGUCUGAGAGGAUGAUCAGCCACACUGGGACUGAGACACGGCCCAGACUCCUACGGGAGGCAGCAGUGGGGAAUAUUGGACAAUGGGCGCAAGCCUGAUCCAGCAAUGCCGCGUGAGUGAUGAAGGCCUUAGGGUUGUAAAGCUCUUUCGCCCGCGACGAUGAUGACGGUAGCGGGAGAAGAAGCCCCGGCUAACUCCGUGCCAGCAGCCGCGGUAAUACGGAGGGGGCUAGCGUUGUUCGGAAUUACUGGGCGUAAAGGGCGCGCA
rnacentral:rRNA from 1 species